rnacentral:rRNA from 1 species
UGGGGAAUAUUGCACAAUGGGGGAAACCCUGAUGCAGCGACGCCGCGUGAACGAAGAAGGUAUUCGUUUCGUAAAGUUUUGUCCUAUGGGCAGAAAAUGACAGUACCAUAGAAGAAAGCUCCGGCUAAAUACGUGCCAGCAGCCGCGGUAAUACGUAUGGAGCGAGCGUUGUCCGGUAUUAUUGGGCGUAAAGGGUACGCAGGCGGUUUAAUAAGUCGAAUGUUAAAGAUCGGGGCUCAACCCCGCAAAGCAUUGGAAACUGAUAAACUUGAGUAGUGGAGAGGAAAGUGGAAUUCCUAGUGGAGUGGUGAAAUACGUAGAUAUUAGGAGGAAUACCAGUAGCGAAGGCGACUUUCUGGACACAAACUGACGCUGAGGUACGAAAGCGUGGGGAGCAAACAGG